UACGUAGGUGGCAAGCGUUGUCCGGAAUUACUGGGUGUAAAGGGCGUGUAGGCGGGAAGGCAAGUCAGAUGUGAAAUCCCAUGGCUUAACUCUGGAGCUGCAUCUGAAACUGUUUUUCUUGAGUACUGGAGAGGAAAGUGGAAUUCCUAGUGUAGCGGUGAAAUGCGUAGAGAUUAGGAGGAACACCAGUUGCGAAGGCGGCUCUCUGGACUGUAACUGACACUGAGGCACGAAAGCGUGGGGAGCAAACAGGAUUAGAUA
rnacentral:rRNA from 1 species